GACGAACGCUGGCGGCGUGCUUAACACAUGCAAGUCGAACGGAAAGGCCCUGCUUUUGUGGGGUGCUCGAGUGGCGAACGGGUGAGUAACACGUGAGUAACCUGCCCUUGACUUUGGGAUAACUUCAGGAAACUGGGGCUAAUACCGGAUAGGAGCUCCUGCUGCAUGGUGGGGGUUGGAAAGUUUCGGCGGUUGGGGAUGGACUGGCGGCUUAUCAGCUUGUUGGUGGGGUAGUGGCUUACCAAGGCUUUGACGGGUAGCCGGCCUGAGAGGGUGACCGGCCACAUUGGGACUGAGAUACGGCCCAGACUCCUACGGGAGGCAGCAGUGGGGAGUAUUGCACAAUGGGCGGAAGCCUGAGGCAGCAACGCCGCGUGCGGGAUGACGGCCUUCGGGUUGUAAACCGCUUUCGCCUGUGACGAAGCGUGAGUGACGGUAAUGGGUAAAGAAGCACCGGCUAACUACGUG
rnacentral:rRNA from 1 species